rnacentral:rRNA from 1 species
GAAGGGUACAAGCGUUACUCGGAAUUACUGGGCGUAAAGCGUGCGUAGGUGGUUUGUUAAGUCUGAUGUGAAAGCCCUGGGCUCAACCUGGGAAUUGCAUUGGAUACUGGCAGGCUAGAGUGCGGUAGAGGAUGGCGGAAUUCCCGGUGUAGCAGUGAAAUGCGUAGAGAUCGGGAGGAACAUCUGUGGCGAAGGCGGCCAUCUGGACCAGCACUGACACUGAGGCACGAAAGCGUGGGGAGCAAACAGGAUUAGAUACCCUGGUAGUCCACGCCCUAAACGAUGCGAACUGGAUGUUGGGAGCAAUUAGGCUCUCAGUAUCGAAGCUAACGCGUUAAGUUCGCCGCCUGGGGAGUACGGUCGCAAGACUG